AGGGUCACAGCUAUAAGGAAUUUGCCCUGAGUCUCAGAUGAAACUUUGAAUAUUGGACAUUUGAGUUGAUGCUGGAACAAGUUAAGAGUUUUGAAGACUAUGGGAUGGAACGACUAUAUUCAACAUGAAAGGAUUAAGACAAGGGCUCUUCCAGAGGAAGAGAGAUUAUCCUGUCCUGGCUAUCCUGGCUAUCACCAACAUUCCAGGAUGAAGAAAUAUGGUGAUAUACUCAGGCCACUGGAAUGGCCUCCAGUACAGCAGUGAAUACCAGUGGAAUGCAACUUCUUUUGCUUUAGAAGACAAGCUCUUAGCAAUGUCAACUUUCCAGGUACAACCGAGAGAUAUUCAACAUAUUAUUAUUUCCACUAAGAUGGGAAACAUUUCCUAGAGGUUAUUUCUCUUUGACAGCAGAGAAGUAUCCAAAUUAUUGUAGAUAAUAAAGCAAAGUUUUCCUCAAGCCCUGUAUAUAUGAGACUACUGUUUCUGAAAAUUAUAGUCCCACAGCAACCUACAAAGUUUAGAGAUCAAUAUUUGAUUUUUCUAUCUUGCUAAAUAUUCUUCAAAUCAAGUAUUAGUUGUCCCUGUCACUCAGAAUUAAGAAAAACUGUGUUAAAGAGGACCUGGAGAAGUAAACUGACUACUGACUUACCAGACUCCAGAACUAUAACAAGUAAAUUUCUGUUGUUUAUAAGCUACCCAGAUUAUGGGGUUUUGUUAUAGUAGCACAGAUGGACUAAGGCAAGGGUACUUUUAGCUUUUUCCAUAUCUUUGUGUUUGUAUAUGUGUGUACGAGAGACAGAAAAAAAUGAAUUUGUUAUUAUUCAUCAUAAAGUCAAAAUAUUUUAAGAAUUUAAACUUUUCUACAAAAAUGUAAUUCAAGUUUGUGUGAGAAGAUU